GAGUAGUAGUAGGAUCACUUAUGCACUUGUAUCGGUAGCGUUUGAAGGGCAACACAUAAAUUGUACAACUAACAAUUUCUUUACCAUUGUAAAAAUAAAUGUAUUUAAAUGGGAGAUUACCAUUUGCUCUGUCAAUAAGGAGUGACUUUACUAGUAAUGCCUAAAAUUUGUAAUGAUCUUUUUGAAAAUAGGACUUUAAGCAAAAAAAUAUUCAAUUAUGUAACAACCAUUUACAAAAUGUCUUACUGAUCAAAUUAUAUGAAAAUGACCGAUAUGACUGAUCACCGGUCAAUCGCAGGAGUGACACAUUGGGGCAGACAAGCACGGAAACUCAAUAUUUGUAGGUAAUUUACAAUUGUUAGUGUACUUACUUACAUGCUUCAGUGCAAUGAGACUAGUGUACUUGCACACACAAGCAUACAUACAGAACGUCAGUCUUGCAUGACCAAUUGAAGCUGAAGGUCAAUACGGUGGUCCCUAUGGGAUCUGUGUGUGUGCUUUCACAAUGAUUCCUCACCUUAUUUUAACACGAAAUAUUGGGUGGCAGUUACAACACAUUCCUCCGAAUGGCUUUUACUCCUUACAAAGUGGGCAGUUUUGAAAGCUUUAGAUAACCGAAUGGAUCAACACAAUAUGGGGCACCAUAGUUAUUAUUGGUUACAAGAUAUUGAGCAUUUUGUUGUUUGAUGUAGCAAAUUGUCAAAAAAGAGCACCAGACCACGUUUAGUGCUUGCACCUUUGUGGUGCACUUCAGCCAUAAGCCCUGCUAGUGUUGAACUUCAAUCAAUAUGGCUGCUGGGGGAAUAUCUCAUCUGCUGCACCUCAUCAGGCUGCUGUCUGAGUUAAAAUUACACUGUUGAGAAGUGCCUCUUCGAUUGAACAUUUAAUGCAGUCAUGCUGUGUGGUCAGUAUCCAAGUCAUUUAAUAUGGAGCCUUUCGGAAAUGUUGGACCAUCGUUCCUCUUGUUUCAAGAGGUGCGCAAAUACAAGGAGGCAAAGUUAAUUUAGAAAGAGGCACACAGUGUGACGAAAACCGACAGACCUUCCAGUAGAAAUACAACAUGAAAUGUCAGGUAUCUUUUUGCAGGUUAUGGCCAUCCAUUAUGUCAUUUCUAAGAAUCCAUACUGUGUAAUGCCUGACAGCAGUUACACAUCAAGCAAUCAAUGAUGUAUCUACAGUUGUUGUUGUUCACUGCUUAAGAGGUUAUUGGUACAGAUUAUAAGCAUGUUAAUACCAUUACGUCAUACCGUGUUAAUGUUUUUUCUUUAUCGUAUUAGUGGAACCAAUAAGGCUGACCACAAUCUGUUCUGAGAGGCUGGUUUACCUCCAAUUUUAUUCUGAAGUAAAUACAUCGCAAAUGAUAGAAAUAAUUCAGAAAUGCUGUCAAUCAUAAAAUAUAUAUUAAAAAAAUAAACAAACAAACAAAAAAAAACUGUGAAACCCUCAAUAGUCACCGAAAUAUAUUCUAACUGAUGAGGCUCGAAUUUCCCCAAAUGGGGUUCACUUGGGGUUCUCUGCACCCUUCCUCACCUUGGAGUGAUCAUUGUUGGUUGACCUCUACUCUUCUGAGGUUGUCUGAAAUCUAAUUUUUCCUAUAGCCAUGGUACACCAUGGUGCCAUGGAUCUUGGAAAACCCCAGAAUUGAAUUGUUUUGCUGAUAAAUUUAAUGAAAUGUCCAAUGUGUUGGUGUCAUUUGUUUUAUCUGGUUAUCAUGAUCCAAUUUUGCAAUGUUAAAAAAAAAAAAACAUUUUAAAGGUGCAGUGUGUAGUGUUGAAAGUGCUAGCAAGAUUCGAUUGCAGCCUCGAUUCAGUACUCCCUCCACCUCUCCCUCCCCUCUGGCUGAACCCGCGCCCCUCGCAGGCGUUCACGCACAAGUCACCAGCUGGCAUUACCGUGGUCACCUUGUAGAAGCAACUUUGCAAUUUUCGAUUUCCCAAGAGGAGAGCACGGCUAUUAGUGACCUCGGCCAACUACAACACCCGGCUGAGUACAACGCUGGGUAGAAGACAAGGAGGAGAAAGGUGACAGACUGAGUUUAGAGGAAUCACAUAGUGCGAUAAAGAAAUUUCUGCUACGCGACCCCAGCUUCAUGUCAUCCUUCACAAGACAUUUGGGGAAGCUCUUCUGACGGUGCCAUAACUGCAGACACA